AUUGAACGCUGGCGGCAGGCCUAACACAUGCAAGUCGAGCGAGCGGCGGACGGGUGAGUAAUGUGUGGGGAGUGCCCGAUAGAGGUGGAGAACUACUGGAAACGGUAGCCAAUACCGCAUACUAUCGGAUCACCCAUAGGGGAUUAGGUAGUAGGUGAGGUAAUGGCUAACCUAGGCGACGAUCCCUAGCUGGUCUGAGAGGAUGAGCAGCCACACUGGGACGUGGACGCGGCCCAGACUCCUAGGGAUGCAGCAUUGGGGAAUAUUGCACAAUGGGCGCAAGCCUUCUGCAGCCAUGCCGCGUGUAUGAAGAAGUCCCUAGGGUUGUAAAGUACUUUCAGUCGGGAGGCGUUACCGACAGAAGAAGCACCGGCUAACUCCGUGCCAGCCGCCGCGGUAAUUC
rnacentral:rRNA from 1 species